ensembl:snoRNA
AAGCAACACUGUGGCAGAUGAUCAAAAUUGAUACAAUUUGAGCUUGCUGUAGCAAGAAAGUCUAACCUAUUCCGGUGUUCUCCCUUCUGUGAGACAAGCCGUUUAUAUAGACUUAAACAGU